UUUCUAUAUAUAAGGACCUCCUUAUGGCCUUUUGGGAAUGCACCGAAUACACAAUUCUCAUUGUAGAGAAACUCUGACAAUACACAACUCCCUAGUGUUAGGGUGCAAAAUUCUUUUAAGCCUUUUUACUCUCUAAAACCUUAUUCUCCUAUCCCUUUUCUAAUAGUUUCCUACUAUCUAUCCCUCUAUUGGAAACCCAAAGAAUAACGGGGUAACUCUCGUGGUAGUGUUCGAGAUCACUCAAGGAGUUGUUUGUGACCAAGAUCGUUUAGAGAUCCAUUUGUUGGAACCUUGGAGAGGAUUGUUCGUGGCACUUGGGAAAUCAACAAAGCACACAAUGUUAAGAAUAGGGUAGUUCGACGACAUUUUGCAAGGUCUGGUGAAACAGUGUCGAUACACUUCAACGUUGUUCUUAACAAAAUUCUUAGACUCCACGAAGUUUUUCUGAAGCAACCUAAGCCAGUGACUCAUUCAUGAGUGGAUUAAGAGAUAUCCCAAUGCUCGAGGUCUACUAAACAAACCAUUCCCUUACUUCGAUGACUUGAAAAUUGUGUUUGGUAUAGAUAGAGCUACUGGUGGUAGAUGUAAGACGCCAAUUGACAUGGGCUUAUAGAAUUUAAAGAAUAUAAAGGAAGAUAACAUGAACAUUAAUCUCGAAGAUUUUGAUAUACCAAAUCCACGUGGACUCGAGCCUACAUCGAGGGAGGACAUGCCAUCCACUCCCACAAGCAGGCACGUGGUGCAGGAUCGUCCAGACUAAAUAAGAAAAGGUGAUCAUAUUCAGGGGAUCUCAUUGACACAUUUCGCACAGAUAUGCGAGAAGCUUUCAUGGGAAGAUUGCUGCAUGGCUGAAAGAAAGGAUGGAAGUAGAAUCAUCCCUAUGUAAACAAUUAUACAUUGAAUUACAAACUACUCCUGAAAUGGAUAUGGACGAUUGUUUGAUUGUAAUUGAGUCUCUAUUACCUAAUCCCACGAUAUUGCACUCAUUUCUUAACUAUCCAACAGAAAGGAAGUAUAAAAAUGCAUGUGCAUCUUGGGAAGGCAACCAUAACCAUGGCUAAAUGGAACUCUGCUUGACUUUUGUUUUUGUUUGACCCUUUUGAUUAUGCUUACUUUUGACAUCUACUGGA